rnacentral:rRNA from 1 species
AUUGAACGCUGGCGGCAGGCCUAACACAUGCAAGUCGAGCGGAUGAAGGGAGCUUGCUCCUGUUUUCAGCGGCUGACUGGUGAGUAAUGCCUAGGAAUCUGCCUGGUAGUGGGGGCUAACGUCCGGAAACGGGCGCUAAUACCGCAUACGUCCUGAGGGAUAAAGUGGGGGAUCUUCGGACCUCACGCUAUCAGAUGAACCUAUGUCGGAUUAGCUAGUUGGUGGGGUAAAGGCCUACCAAGGCGACGAUCCGUAACUGGUCUGAGAGGAUGAUCAGUCACACUGGAAAUGAGACAAGGUCCAGACUCCUACGGGAGGCAGCAGUGGGGAAUAUUGGACAAUGGGCGAAAGCCUGAUCCAGCCAUGCCGCGUGUGUGAAGAAGGUCUUCGGAUUGGAAAGCACUUUAAGUUGGGAGGAAGGGCAGUAAGUUAAUACCUUGCUGUUUUGACGUUACCAAAAGAAUAAGCACCGGCUAACUUCGUG